AGUGAACGCUGGCGGCGUGCCUAACACGUGCAAGUCGAAAGAUGAAGUCCUUCGGGAUGGAUUAGUGGCGCACGGGUGAGUAUACCAUAGAUAAUGUACCUCUUAGUUCGGGAUAGCCACUGGAAACGGUGAUUAAUACCGGAUACUCCUUCUCAUUAUAAGAUGAGUCGGGAAAGUUUUUUCGCUAAGAGAUCAGUCUAUGUCCUAUCAGCUAGUUGGUGAGGUAAUGGCUCACCAAGGCUAUGACGGGUAUCUGGUUUGAGAGGAUGAUCAGACACACUGGAACUGAGACACGGUCCAGACUCCUACGGGAGGCAGCAGUGAGGAAUAUUGCACAAUGGAGGAAAAUCUGAUGCAGCAACGCCGCGUGGAGGAUGACGCAUUUCGGUGUGUAAACUCCUUUUAAGAGGGAAGAUAAUGACGGUACCUCUUGAAUAAGCACCGGCUAACUCCGUGCCAGCCGCCGCUGUAAGAC
rnacentral:rRNA from 1 species